UACGAAGGGGGCUAGCGUUGCUCGGAAUCACUGGGCGUAAAGCGCACGUAGGCGGAUUGCUAAGUCAGGGGUGAAAUCCUGGAGCUCAACUCCAGAACUGCCUUUGAUACUGGCGACCUUGAGUCCGGGAGAGGUGAGUGGAACUGCGAGUGUAGAGGUGAAAUUCGUAGAUAUUGGGAGGAACACCAGUGGCGAAGGCGGCUCACUGGACCGGAACUGACGCUGAGGCGCGAAAGCGUGGGGAGCAAACGGG
rnacentral:rRNA from 1 species